GUGGUGGACUCGCUUUCUCUCUCUAAAAAUCAAGAGAGAGAAAAAGGGCACAAGGAUAUAGAGGAGUCCAUUAGUCUACACUUUUUCUCACCUUUGAAUUCUUCUUUGUUUGCUUGCUAAGCGAAAUCGAAGAAAACCCACAAAACCAGAUCGGCGAUCCACCGAAAAGCAAGAAAUCGGUUGUAAAUGGGUCAACAGAAGGCUUUGAUCUAUGCGUUUGUCGGUCGUGGGAAUGUUAUAUUGGCUGAAUACACAGAUUUCAGUGGUAACUUCAACUCCAUAGCUUAUCAGUGUCUUCAGAAGCUACCUGCUUCCAAUAACAAGUUCACCUAUAAUUGUGAUGGUCAUACCUUCAACUACCUUGUUGAUAAUGGAUUCACGUACUGCGUGGUUGCUGAGGAGUCUGUUGGAAGACAAAUUCCAAUAGCGUUUUUGGAGCGCAUUAAGGAUGAUUUCAUGUCAAAAUAUGGGAGUGGGAAGGCUGCGACAGCUCCUCCUAAUAGCCUGAACAAGGAAUUU
rnacentral:misc_RNA from 1 species